rnacentral:rRNA from 1 species
AUUGAACGCUAGCGGGAUGCUUUACACAUGCAAGUCGAACGAGUGGCGGACGGGUGAAUAAUAUAGCGGAACGUGCCCAGUAGCGGGGGAUAACUACUCGAAAGAGUGGCUAAUACCGCCUACUAUUGGAGCGGCCGAUAUCGGCUUAGCUAGUGAGUGGGGUAACGGCUAACCAAGGAAAAGAUCCGUAGCUUGUUUGAGAGGACGACCAGCCACACUGGGACGUAGACACGGCCCAGACUCCUACGGGAGGCAGCAGUGGGGAAUUUUGGAAAAUGGGGGAAACCCUGCUCCAGCCAUCCCGCGUGUAUGAGAAGGCCUUCGGGUUGUAAAGUACUUUUGGCAGAGAAGCGGUAUCUGCAGAAUAAGCACCGGCUAACUACGUGCCAGCAGCCGCGGUAAUAC